rnacentral:lncRNA from 1 species
CAAAUUCUUACCUUGAAGCGACAAAAUGGUGGUCCAAUUUCAAUCGCCGACACCCUGCGUGAUGACGUAGAUUCCCCACCUUGUACACAAGAAAUUUGAACGUUAUCUUAAUCCGCACAGCAAGAGCUUCAAAAGGGUGUCUCAAAUUAUCGCUAUCGUAUUCCAUUCUCUCAUAAAUUUGUAAUUAGAAUAAACAUCCUUACCACAUAAAAGUAGAUAAUGUAUGAUUAGGUGUAAAAUUUGAUCUAUACAUUCUAUCCAAAAUCUGAGACACCCUUUUGUAGAUAAUGACUCAAGGUACAACAUAUAAUAAAACCAACCCUCUAGGGGGGUCCAUGAAGAAGCUAAUUUCAAUUGAAAGUGGAAAUUUCUUGUAAAAUUUUGUAGACACAGUUAUCAUUAUAAUUGAUUACAUAAUUUUUGUAUAAUACUAAUAUUGCAUUUAUUUGAAAAGUAGUCUGUUAGCUAUCCAUGGAUACCACUAUUAUAAAUUUUCAAGCAUUAUAACGAAAGUUACAGCAUUAAAAUCUUUGUAUUGUGCUACCUUAAAGAUGAAUUUCAUUUCAAAGUAUUUGCUAUGACGUCACUUACAAAAC